UGGCUUGGUUUCCUGGGAGGUGGGCUCAGCCUACUCCACCCUCCCCUCAGCCAAGCCUAGAGUAGAGGGGCCAGGCAUCCUCACCAGGGGAGAAGCAUUUAAGUAAGGAGCCUCACCUGGGCUGUCCUAGCCUCACAUUU
ensembl:scaRNA